rnacentral:lncRNA from 1 species
GAGGCAAAGAGCAACACGUCCGGUCACAGGGCAGCUUAGUGGAGGGAGCAGGAUUUGAACCCAGGUGAAGCCCAUGCUUCUCGCACCACACUGCCUUCUAACAGGAUUGCCAACGUGGGGCACUCCGUCCGAGCAGGGCCCUGUCCUAAGCGUCAUCCACAUAUUCAUAGAACACACACAACCUCCUGGAUAAAGUCCAUCCUCUUUGGCAUCAAAACCCUCUGCAGCCCGGCCUCCGCUGACCUGCCCCACUGGCCUCGUCACCGCUCCUGCCUGGCAGCCACCAGAACAUCCGCAGCUGGACACGGGCCCGCUCCGCCCCCUUCCUGGGUCUUUGAUGGACUUUCUUGUCCAUCUGGAGCACCCCUCUGAGUCCUCUGUUCUGGGAGUGUCUCCUCACCCUCCACGUCCCCAGGCCCGAGGUCGGCAGUGCUCAAUACAUCUUGCCAAUCCAGCCACUAGGAUGAACGGUCCCCCGCCUGCAGGAAUGAGAAGCCUUUGGAUCUGGGCUGCUGUGCGGCCUGAGGCAAGCCCCUGAACCUCUCUGUGCUCAUUUCCUCUCCCUUAUGCCUGAGUUUUAAGAUCUGCCACUUGCUCGUAAACAUUUGACUGUCCCUUUCCUCCCCGUCCUCAGAGCCCAAACCUUCUCCCAAGUCUCGAGCACUUUAUAUUUUAUGUUUAUUUACAGCUUUCUUUUCAGUUUUCCCCUUUGAGUUUCCCGCAGUCUUUCUGUUGUUGAUUUAUUUGCGCUCAGAGGAGAGCUGGCUGGAUCACAGAGGCGCCGCUGGCAGAGCCUGGGAGCCCCGUGCGUGCCCAUGUGAGUUCUCUCAUCCGUAAAGGAUUCUGCCUCCUAGCAAGCGUGAUGGGUCAUGGGAACACACAGGCCGGUGGCGGCAGCCCGGACAAGGACUCCGAACCCCCUGGAAGCCCAGCUGGGGGGAUCCUGGACCGCCCUCCCCCUCUUCAGAGAAUCAUCAGGCAGGAUUUGGGGCAACCCACAUCCCUCUCUCGUGAUUCACUUUUCCCUGGGGGGCCUCCCCCAUGUCCCCCGGCCUCCCCAUAAACGCACAGCCUCUCCCAGAGGCAGGAGUCAUCCAGACGCACUGUGUGAAAUAUCGGGCUGGUGGAGGACACCCCCCGGCAGACCUGGCCUCCCCCGUUGCCUCAUUAUAGCAAGCUUUCCCACACACGGCCUCCCAUUCGGACACCCUGGGAAGCUGGGAAGCCAUCUGCUUAUAGUAACGUGACUUAUGACUUAUGGUUAUGAUUAUGAUUCCUUUUUUUUUUUUGCAAAACAUCUGCUUUAACGGGGAAAAUGCUAUCCGGAGGAGUGGUGGGCUGUAAAAAUGCAACAGCAGGAAAAACUGCCGCUAAUGGUCACUACAUGGAACAGAGCCUCAGAGAUCAGCAGGGCUGUCACGGAGGCGGCUCAGGAAGUGGCCUGUGACGUCCCUGCCAGGGCCUCAAAGAGACCCAGGCUCAGCCCCUGCUGGGGGAGGCAGCCCCGGGAGACCGGCCUCCUAGCAGAGGGCAGUCCCCUCCCCCAAGCCCUCCGUCACCUCUCAGCCCGCUCUGGUCCACGCUGUCAGUGGUGGGAGGGGGCAGGGACCCUAGACUCUGGGGCCAACAGCCCCUUGUCCGGCUGCUGGCUGAAGGAGGAUGCCAGCGCUUUCAAACCUCCCUCUUUCCUCCAAUUACGAGAUUAACAACCCAACACAGACGUUUUCACCCACUUUAACUCCUUCCAGCAGCCUGGGCUAACCAGAGCCCUGCCUGGGGAGCCCCUGGGCCGCCUGAGUUCAGGGACUUGCUGUGUGACCCCGGGAAAGUCCGUUCCCCUCGAGGUUUCCUUCUCUGUGAAAUGAGGGCUUAGGGCUUCUAGGUCAGCAGGGCCAGCGGUAUCAUGCCUGUUUUCUCUUCACUGGAAUGUAAGUUCCAAGAGAGCAGGACUCUGUUACCCACUGUGUGCCCAAGACCUAAGAAAGUCCCUGUCACCAGGAAGUCACCCCAAAGAUCUUUGAUGUAUGAAUUCUGCAGAGUAGCAGACGGAUGCCCUGAAGGUUCAGGGGCAGAGGUUUGAGAAGGAGCUCAGAGCCACUCUGAGCCCCCAGCUCAGGAGAAUGCUUUCCCACGGCUCCCGGCUCCCGCCCAUCCCCCCUCACCCCCCACCCCUCCUCCACCCCCACCCCCCUCCCCUUCUUUCUCAAAGGAGAGGCACGUUCCUGGGGCUGAUGCUCCUCUGGCCAGGUCAGCCAGCGGGGUUAAGAGUCCCCAAGACUCUUUCCUCCGCAUCCUCUCAGGAGAAGCAGGCCUGGCCCGUGGGUCUGGGGCUCCUGCCCCUGGAGCUGCUGCCCCGCUCCUGAGGGGCUCAGUCCUGCCUUUGGGAGUCGAUUCUCUAAGCCCACCUCUGGAGGGGCCUCGUGAAGCUCUGGCGGCUGCCGGAAGCGGAAAUGCAAAUGGGCAGUUUCUAAAAACCAAGCCUUUGGCCUGUGAUGGGCUGCUGGUCAGGAUGGGGAGACAGGCUAAGCAGGUCUCUGGCCAGAGGAGGUUAUGAGGUGUGGGGCCUUGACUGGACAGUCAGCGUCCUGCUGCCCCACCUGUGCCACCCGAGGGGGCGCAGUGACGUGACGGGGCUAAGGGAGAGAACAGGGGACCCAAUAGCAUUCUCCAGACCCAGCUGGUCUUCUCCUCCUCACUCCCCACCAACCUCCCUGCUCCCGGGCUUCCAGCAUCACUGGGCAGAGAGGCUCAGGCACUCCCUCCAGUUCAGGCCUCUCUCCUGAGCUCUGGGAUUAGAUACUGUCCCUUCUGGUCCUCCCUGCAAUGUGUCAGGAAUCAAACUCAACAUCUCUACCAAGACCUGGUCCUCCAUGGGCUCAAGACCGAGCUUUGGGGGUCCCCAGAGGCUCUUCCCUCCCCCUCAUGCCCUGCCUGCAAUCCGCUUGAAGCCCCAUGGAUUCUGUCUCUUAACCACCCUGAAUCUGCCCCCUCCUCUCCAUCACACGCCAUCUCCCGUCUCCUGGCUCCAUCACCCUCUCCUGGCUCCAUGAUCCCUUCCCUGGCUCCAUCACCCUCUCCUGGCUCCAUCCCCCCUUCCCUGGCUCCAUCACCCCUUCCCUGGCUCCAUCACCCUCUCCUGGCUCCAUCACCCCUUCCCUGGCUCCAUCAUCCCUUCCCUGGCUCCAUCACCCCUUCCCUGGCUCCAUCACCCCUUCCCUGGCUCCAUCACCCUCUCCUGGCUCCGUCACCCCUUCCCUGGCUCCAUCAUCCCUUUCCCUGGCUCCAUCACCCCUUCCCUGGCUCCAUCACCCUCUCCUGGCUCCGUCACCCCUUCCCUGGCUCCAUCAUCCCUUCCCUGGCUCCCUCACUCUCUCCCGGCAGGAAGGUGGGCUUGUUCUUCGGAGCUGUGGGGGGACUGGGCUGG